GCUGGGAUAGCUUUGUCAUUAGAGCAUGAGACUCUUAAUCUUAGAGUUGUGGGUUCACGCCCCACAUUGGGCA